CCUGAAAGUUUUUCUACGGGUGUCCAUAUUUACGUGGACUAAUAGGGAAGAUGGUGUGAGGCCAUCACGGACCCGCCGCUGUAUUCGGUGACGAACGCUGCAAUUUACCACUGUCCGCUUGUGGCGGAUGGGAAGGCGCAGUCAGUAGGAUGACCCGAUAGUCAGAAAACCUGCCUGUGGAGACUUAUAGAC
rnacentral:ncRNA from 2 species